rnacentral:rRNA from 1 species
GACGAACGCUGGCGGCGUGCUUAACACAUGCAAGUCGAACGGAAAGGCCCUGCUUUUGUGGGGUGCUCGAGUGGCGAACGGGUGAGUAACACGUGAGUAACCUGCCCUUGACUUUGGGAUAACUUCAGGAAACUGGGGCUAAUACCGGAUAGGAGCUCCUGCUGCAUGGUGGGGAUUGGAAAGUUUCGGCGGUUGGGGAUGGACUCGCGGCUUAUCAGCUUGUUGGUGGGGUAGUGGCUUACCAAGGCUUUGACGGGUAGCCGGCCUGAGAGGGUGACCGGCCACCUUGGGACUGAGAUACGGCCCAGACUCCUACGGGAGGCAGCAGUGGGGAAUAUUGCACAAUGGGCGGAAGUCUGAUGCAGCAACGCCGCGUGCGGGAUGACGGCCUUCGGGUUGUAAACCGCUUUCGCAUGUGACGAAGCGUGAGUGACGGUAAUGGGUAAAGAAGCACCGGCUAACUACGUG